CGAACGGGGAGAUUCAUCGUCAGCGAACGCCGGCUUCGCGUCGGUCGGCGAUGUCCCGCGCGGGGCCCUCGCGGCUCUCAGCGCGGGCACGCUGCCGCGCGCCGAUGUCUCCGGCUUCGUCGUCGUGCACUUCUCCCCUAGUAGAACGUCGCGACCCGCUGGGUGUCGGUCUACGGCCCGGGUGCGGUGACUGACGCGCCGCCGGUAAAACGGCGCGCGUCAAACCCCCGGUCGCCCGGCCGGCUGCCCGGCGGUACGCGCAAGGUAUCAGGCCGCACACAAACACGGUGCGUCGAGGCCGUCGCAAGCGCGCGCCACGGUACACGGAGGUACGGACCUAGCGCCGUCACCGGUCCUGGCCCGCUGUUGGUCGUACGGUUAACCUUCGACAGGCCUACCAACGUCCCAUCGGUGUGCGGGCUCGCCCCGCCCCGGUGGUGACCGAUACCGGUCGGCGACGCU
rnacentral:rRNA from 1 species